GCCUUAUGCAUGGCAGUCGAGCGAAGCUUUUUGGUAGUUUACUACUAGAAAUGACUGAGCGGCGAACGGGUGAGUAACGCGUGAGCAAUCUACCUUAGUUACUGGGAUAGCCCGAGGAAACCCGGAUUAAUACCAGAUAUUCUUAUCUUUUCACAUGAAGUUUUAAGGAAAGGUCAGCCGAACUAAGAUGAGCUCGCGUUCUAUCAGCUAGUUGGUGGGGUAAAAGCCUACCAAGGCUACGACGGAUAGCUGGUCUGAGAGGACGAUCAGCCACACUGGGACUGAGACACGGCCCAGACUCCUACGGGAGGCUGCAGCAGGGAAUAUUGUGCAAUGAGCGAAAGCUUGACACAGCGACACCGCGUGUGGGAUGACGGUUCUAGGAUUGUAAACCACUUUCAGGAGGGAAGAAAAUGACGGUACCUCCAUAAGAAGACCCGGCCAACUAUGUGCCAGCAGCCGCGGUAAUACAUAGGGGUCAAGCGUUGUCCGGAUUUAUUGGGCGUAAAGAGCUCGUAGGCGGUUCAACAAGUCGGUCGUAAAAGUUUAGGGCUCAACCCUAAAAUGUCGAUCGAUACUGUUGUGACUAGGAUACGGUAGAGGUGAAUGGAAUUCCGAGUGUAGCGGUGAAAUGCGUAGAUAUUCGGAGGAACACCAAUUGCGAAGGCAGUUCACUGGACCGUGGUCGACGCUGAGGAGCGAAAGCUAGGGGAGCAAACAGGAUUAGAUACCCUGGUAGUCCUAGCUGUAAACGAUGGAUACUAGAUG
rnacentral:rRNA from 1 species